GCCAGGUAGAAAAUAAAAGAAUAAAAAGUAAAAUGGCACACUCACAGAUGGAAGUACCAAAAUACCGUUAUUUAAAACAAUAUAAAAUAUCCACAAUGCGUUUCACCAACAAGGCGUUAUCAAAUGGAGAUAAAAAGGCAGGGAAAGUUUUUUUUUUAAUGAAAUACGAACAUGACAGAUUUGAAAUUGGCACCUAAAUUACAUCAUAAUUGUGUAAUUGACUUUUUUUUUUUUAAUUUAUAAUUGGUGUUUUAACAGUAUUGUGAAUAAGUUCCUAUUGGUAGGGACUGCUUGUUACGAUUAAAUGCAAAAAAAAAACAAAAAAACACAAUUUUACCAUAGUUAGCUUAAUUUAUUUUAUAUUGCACUAUUAGUCUUUUCUUUUUACAUACAGAUUUGAUGAAUACCCGGAUCUGACACUUUUUUUGAAGAAUAUUUCUGGACAGAUUUGAGGCUAUAUCUACUGGCAAGUUUUAUUGGAACUUUUAUUGUAUUAUUCAUAUAUUGGUCCUUUUGUUUUGUUUUUUUUACUUCUUAUAGUUAUUUGUACCUAUACAUGGUCUAUACUGUUUUGGUGCAACCUUAUCUCCUCCUUUGUAUAGUGUUAAACUACCUGUUUAGAUGACUGAUCUCCCUCAAAUUACAUUGAAAAUGGGAUUUUACUCCUGUUUUCACCAUCACAUUGCCAGUCACGCUGCGGCUGGUGCCGCCUUCAUGGCCGAGAUCACCAAUCUUGACGAUCGCAUUCAGUCCAAAGCUUUCCCAUAGGAAAACAUUGGGAGGCUAUUGAACAUGCAAGGCAAAACGCUGCACCAAUUAGCAUCUCCUCAUAUACAGUAUCUCACAAAAGUGAAUACACCCCUCACAUUUUUGUAAAUAUUUUAUUAUAUCUUUUCAUGUGACAAUAUGGAAGAAAUGACACUCUGCUACAAUGUAAUGUAGUAAGUGUGCAGCCUGUAUAACAGUGUAAAUUUGUCACACAGCCAUUAAUGUCUAAACCGUUGGCAACAAAAGUGAGUACACCCCUAAGUGGAAAUGUCCAAAUUGGGCCCAAUUAGCCAUUUUCCCUCCCCGGUGUCAUGUGACUCAGUGUUAGAAGGUCUCAGGUGUGUUAAAUUUGGUGUUAUUGCUCUCUCAUACUGGUCACUGGAAGUUCGGCAUGGCACCUCAUGGCAAAGAACUGUUUGAGAAUCUGAAAAAAAGAACUGUUGCUCUACAUAAAGAUGGCAUAGGCUAUAAGAAGAUUGCCAAGACCCUGAAACUGAGCUGCAGCACGGUGGGCAAGACCAUACAGCGGUUUCACAGGUUCCACCAACUGGAAUCUGUAUUAGUAUUAUUUUUAAAAUUCAAACUCAUGACUUUUUUCAGAAACCUGAAAACGUGUUUCUAUAAAAGUAGAGAUAUUUUCACAUUACAUAGAAAUGCACUUUGGAAACAAAGCUAAAAUGUUUAUUUUCUUAAUAAUUAAC